UCUCUAUUCACUACUUCGCCUGGAUGGUCCUGAUUGUUGCUGCGCUGAACGCAUCAGGUCUUUGCUCACCGGAGAUUAAAGCCGGGGCGAAACGUCUUUCUGACUUCUUCUCCAAGCAACUGCUGUGGGUGUUGAUGGUAGGUGUGGGUGUUUGCUACACCGAUCUGCAAGAGAUCAUCGAUGCCCUGACGUUCGCCAACGUCGUUAUCGCCGCAAUCAUUGUGGUCGGUGCUGUCGUUGGCGCAGCUAUCGGGGGCUGGUUGAUUGGCUUCUACCCGAUUGAAUCAUCCAUUACUGCGGGUCUUUGUAUGGCCAACCGCGGCGGCUCCGGCGAUCUGGAAGUGCUCUCC
rnacentral:misc_RNA from 1 species